rnacentral:rRNA from 1 species
AGAGUUUGAUCCUGGCUCAGAACGAACGCUGGCGGCAGGCUUAACACAUGCAAGUUGAACGGGAUUUGUAUGGUGCUUGCACCAUGUAAUGAGAGUAGCGCACUGGUGAGUAACACGUGGGAACAUACCUUGAAGUGGGGGACAACAGUUGGAAACGACUGCUAAUACCGCAUAAUCCCUGAGGGGGAAAGAUUUAUCGCUUUAAGAUUGGCCCGCGGAAGAUUAGGUAGUUGGUGGGGUAAAGGCCUACCAAGCCGACGAUCUAUAGCUGGUCUGAGAGGACGAACAGCCACAUUGGAACUGAGACACGGUCCAGACUCCUACGGGAGGCAGCAGUGAGGAAUAUUGGGCAAUGGAGGAAACUCUGACCCAGCCAUGCCGCGUGAGUGAAGAAGGUUUUCGAAUUGUAAAGCUCUUUCGGAUGGGACGAUGAUGACGGUACCAUCUAAAGAAGCCCCGGCAAACUUCGUGCCAGCAGCCGCGGUAAUACGAAGGGGGCAAGCGUUGUUCGGAAUUACUGGGCGUAAAGGGUGUGUAGGCGGAUUUGUAAGAUAGUGGUGAAAUACCUGAGCUCAACUUAGGAAUUGCCAUUAUAACUAUAGAUCUGGAGUGACAGAGAGGAUAUUGGAAUACCCAGUGUAGAGGUGAAAUUCGUAGAUAUUGGGUAGAACACCAGUGGCGAAGGCGAGUAUCUGGCUGUCAACUGACGCUGAGGCACGAAAGCAUGGGGAUCAAACAGGAUUAGAUACCCUGGUAGUCCAUGCUGUAAACGAUGAAUGCUAGUUGUCGGCAAAAGCCGGUGACGCAGUUAACGCGAUAAGCAUUCCGCCUGGGGAGUACGGUCGCAAGAUUAAAAC